GGAAGGUGGCUCAGUGGUAGAGUGCUUGCCUUAUGUGCAUGAGGCCCUGGGUUCAAUUCCUCACUACCA
rfam:Dipodomys ordii contig_11753, whole genome shotgun sequence.